AUGGGGGCUCCCUCCAGGUCCUGCUCCGUGCUUCCCUCCUGCCUCCUUGGGAUCUCCCAUAAUCACAGGGUGCCCUGGGGCUGUGAGGGUGUGCCUGGACACAGAUCUGUGUCAUUGCAUGGAUGUUCAUCCACACACACUUGGAUCUUGUGGGAAGCCUGGGAAGGGGGCACUGAGACACAAGGAGCUGGGUUUUUAUCUCCAGGGUCAAGGCCAAGAGCAGCAAGGCCUGGUUCCAGGGGGAUGGUUCUGGAAUGUUCUGUGCAGUGGCUCUGCCUGCCUGGGCAUCCAUCUGGGCAUCUGGUGAUCCCGCUGUGCCAACUGCUCCACACUGGGGUGGGAGGGAAGGGGGUCCUGGGCACAGUUAGAGCUGAACCUCAUCCCUUUGGCCAGUCCUGGGCAGUCCCUGGGUCGUGGCACGCCUGUCCUGGGUGGGAUGUGGGAAGAAUGGAAUGGGCUCCUUGGGCAUGGGAAAGCCUGUGGUGUUGGAGUGUCCCCAUCACUGGCACUUCGGGUGCCCCUUCCCAGUGUCCCGGCUCCUGUGGGGGCCCCUGGGUGCAGAGGGAGGGAGGGCAGCAGGGUGGAGGGCUGGGAAUCCCCGAUCCCAGUGUGUGGAGCUGUGAUCCCGUGGCAGUGCUGGGAUUGAGCAUUCCUGGGGCUCAGGACAGGCCGGGGGGUCUGUACCCCCUCAAUCCAGGGUUAUCCAGAGGUGUGUCCAGAAUUGCUGCGUGUCCCAGGCCAGAGAUCCCACUGCACCCUGCAAGGGCAACCAGCAGGGAAUAUUCCCAUCAUUCCCUCAGCAAUUCCACAGCCAAAAACUUCCCUAAACCAGAAUUCCCUCUCCUCCUGAGUCAGGCAAAAUCCCGGGUGUUUGUUGGGGUCCUGUGUCCUCAGCAAAGCCCAAGGGAAAUUGCCCAAGUGUCCCAAGGCUUGGCUGUCCCUGGGAUGGAAUCCCAAGGUUUCACCCCGAGGUUCCAUCAGGAACAUCUCUUGGAGAGCUGCAGGUGUGCAGGGAGUGGAAACCCUGGGGGCACAGAUUGGAAAAAAAAGAAAAUAAAAACCCCAAAAAGCCCAGUGUUGCCCUCAGUGUCUGUUCCAAAGGGCUUGGGCAUCCCAGUUCCCAAACCUCGCAGUGAAAGGUUUGGAGUGAAGGUGCAGGGACAUUCCCAAAGAACAUAUCUGAAGGAAAUAUCAUUUAAAUUACUUUCUUGUUCUCCAGUGGCAUCCCAGAGUCAUUUUUCCCACACUGGCCAGGGAGCUGUCAUUAAAAUCCUGAUUUAUCAGUGGCAAUCCUUGGAGCUCAUCCCUGUGCCAGGCCUUGAAAUCCCAACCCCUCGGGGACCCCCCUCAUCCUGA
rnacentral:lncRNA from 1 species